UACGUAGGUGGCAAGCGUUGUCCGGAUUUACUGGGCGUAAAGAGCGCGCAGGCGGUCGUUCAAGUCGGGUGUGAAAGCCCCCGGCUCAACUGGGGAGGGUCACUCGAUACUGAUCGACUCGAAGGCAGGAGAGGGAAGUGGAAUUCCCGGUGUAGUGGUGAAAUGCGUAGAUAUCGGGAGGAACACCAGUGGCGAAGGCGACUUCCUGGCCUGUUCUUGACGCUGAGGCGCGAAAGCUAGGGGAGCAAACGGG
rnacentral:rRNA from 1 species